UGGCUAGAUAAUUUAAUUUAAAAAUACUGAAGUGCGAACUCAGGAUUGGUAUGAUGUUUACCUUUGGCCAU
rnacentral:tRNA from 1 species